GCUGGGUGCAGUGGCGUGCACCUGUAAUUCCAGGGGUUUGGGAGGCUGAGGCAGGAGGAUUGGAAGUUCAAAGACAGCCUUGGCAAUUUAGGGAGGUCCUAAGCAACUCAGCAAGACCCUGUCUCUA
rnacentral:sRNA from 1 species